UAAGAAUUAGUUAAUAUCUAUAACAUAAAUAUGUCAUAUUUAAAUAAUUAAACUUUUGUAAUAUUCUUAU
rnacentral:tRNA from 1 species